CCUACGGGUGGCAGCAGUGGGGAAUAUUGGGCAAUGGGCGCAAGCCUGACCCAGCAAUGCCGCGUGAAGGAAGAAGGCCCUCGGGUUGGAAACUUUUUUGAGGGGGGAAGAGCAGAAGACGGUACCCUGAAAACAAGCCACGGCUAAAUACGUGCCAGCAGCCGCGGUAAUACGUAGGUGGCAAGCGUUGUCCGGAUUUACUGGGUGUAAAGGGCGUGUAGCGGGGAAGGCAAAUCAGAUGUGAAAUCUGGAGGCUCAACCUCCAAAUUGCAUUUGAAACUGUUUUUCUUGAGUACUGGAGAGGCAGACGGAAUUCCUUGUGUAGCGGUGAAAUGCGUAGAUAUAAGGAGGAACACCAGUGGCGAAGGCAGUCUGCUGGACAGCAACUGACGGUGAGGCGCGAAAGCGUGGGGAGCAAACAGGAUUAGAUACCCGGGUAGUC
rnacentral:rRNA from 1 species